CAAGAGAGUAGCCUUUCCUCCUAGCUGGGCCUGCGCCGUCUCUGCAGCCCUGGUCCCACUGACCACUGACGGCAGCCCCAGCCCCUCCACCUGCUGCCAGGGUUGUGCCAUGUAGGUCCUGCCUACUGGUCAGUGUCUAUGACAAAACCAGGCUGUGAGGCGAGGCUGCCCCCAACCGGCCCAGCUCCCAUCCUCGGUGCCCGGGGAGUCUGCAGGCUGCUCCGUGUGACAGAGCCAGCCCCUCUGCCUCAGCUCGUCCCUCGGAUGGCACCAGGCGGCGGUGGUACCUCAGGUCAAGCCCAUGCCCCCAGGCCCUGAGUGGCCAUCAUCCAGGGUAAGCACCUGGCCGGGCCCUGGGGGGCCAGCGGGGAAGGAGCUGGGGCUGUGCGUAGGAGGCACCCUGAUGGACGCUUAGGACAUGCCGAGGACCAGCGUACGUCACACUGAGCCUGCCCAGCAGGCACGACUGAGCUUGAGGAAGCUCUUGUCAAGCAAAAGUUCUGCCCUGGAAAGAGAAAAAAAGGAAGCAGCAAAAAAGCAGAACCCUAUUUUCCAGAGGCCUGGAGGAUUUACAGCACAUCUGAACAAGCUGUACAGUCGCUUAAGCAACUUCAACGCCAACUUCCACCUCGCCCCGCGCUCCUGCUCCGGCACCCCCUCCGCCACGUGCACGCCUCACGCUUGGGCAGUUCCAAGGCUCAGCAUCUCCUGCCCACUACUACCUGCUCUUCAUUUCCUCUUGAUGGCCAGUGUGUCCCAUGGAACUGGUGGCCUUGCUGCAGCAGAGUGAACUUGGGUCUCAGCUGCACUGUCUUUGACUGACAGGUGCUCCCGUGCAGCCAGGGUCCCUGUCCAAGGCAUGCAGGGUGCCAUGGGACGUGGUGCACACAGAGAGUACCAGCCCAGGACACACACAGCCUGUGAGGACAGUCCCCAGGGCUUGGUGAAGUGGCAGAGGAGGGGGGCUGGGAGGAGGACCCCCCCCCAAGGCCCAAGGUGGUCCUGCUGGUCUGCAGCCAGCCACAGGGUGCCUGCUGGCCACAGGCUGAGUUAGACUGCAGAUACUUAAAAAAUAAAAAACAAAUGUUUCAGAAAUC